rnacentral:misc_RNA from 1 species
AUUUGCUUAUGUAAGAUGAUUUUAUCACGACAUAAAAACUAAAUACAUCUCCAUAUAAAGAUUAAACAAAGAAUAUGUAAGAUAUUCCCCGUAACAUAAUAGUAGUGACGGCAAAUGAGUUGAAAAUGGGUCAAACAAACCGGAACAUAACCCAACUAGCUCAUAUGAUCACUUUGUUUUUCAGGUUGACCAUUAGAUUUCUGAGAACCUAGCAAG